rnacentral:other from 1 species
GUUAGCUCGGGCCGGGAGGAGCCGCCACCGCCGCCGCCGGAGGAGGAGGGGGAGGAGGAAGGAGAGAAGGAAGAGGAGAGGGGGCCGCGGUGACGACUCGGCGCCGGGGAGCCGGGCUCAUGGACGGGUGAGGCGGCCGUGUGCGCAGACAGUGCUCCAGCCGCGCGCGCGCCCCAGGCCCUGGCCCGGGCCUCGGCUCCGGGAGCAAGAGGAGCUCGCGGAGGCGCCGAGGAGAGCGGGCCGUCCCGCAGCCCGAGCAGGAGAGGGAGCGCGAGCCGCGCCGGCCCCGGCCGGGCCUCCGAAACCAUGAACUUUCUGCUU